rnacentral:tRNA from 4 species
GGCGGGAUAGCUCAGUUGGUAGAGCACAUGACUGAAAAUCAUGGUGUCCCCGGUUCGAAUCCGGGUCCCGCCA